UGAGAGAUGCUGUGGUAGAUAGUUUAAUCUCAUUCUUCUUCUCUAUAUUUGGCAGCCCUUUGGGCACACAGCAGCUUCCUCGGCCGCGGGUAUUGGCGUGUGGGCUGGUAUGCCUGGAAGAGGGCACUGCCUGUGUCUGUGACUGCCUCUGCUUCCGAACUGGGGUGCAUUGCAUGCGCAGAAGAUUCCAAGGGGAAAACGAAAUACUGAAUGAUGAGUCCUGCUAUGCACACAGCAAGGAUGUUUCCCAUAACAGUCCCCACCUCCCCCAGGUGUCCUACGAGAUGGAGGUGGUGAUCUAUGUGGAGAGGCUCACACAGGCAAGAGGAACAGGAGGGGGGAGGAAGAAGGGAAAGAACUAGAAAUCUCCUAACCUGUGAU